rnacentral:rRNA from 1 species
AUUGAACGCUGGCUGCAGGCCUAACACAUGCACGUCGUGCGAGCGGCGGACGGGUGAGUAAUUUAUGGGGAUCUGCCUGAUGGCGGGGGAUAACUACUGGAAACGGUAGCUAAUACCGCAUACCAUCCGAUGAACACAUAUGGGAUUAGCUUGUAGGUACGGUAACGGCUUACCUAGGCGACGAUCCCGAGCUGGUCUGAGAGGAUGAUCAGCAACACGGGGACUGAGACACGGCCCAGACUCCUACGGGAGGCAGCAGUGGGUAAUAUUGCACAAUGGGCGCAAGCCUGAUGCAGCCAUGCCGCGUGUAUGAAGAAGGCCUUCGGGUUGUAAAGUACUUUCAGUCGGGAGGCGUUACCGACAGAAGAAGCACCGGCUAACUCCGUGCCAGCAGCCGCGGUAAUUC